GAUGAACGCUGGCGGCGUGCCUAAUACAUGCAAGUCGAGCGAACAGACGAGGAGUUUGUUCCCUGGCGGUAGGGGGGGACGGGGGGGGAAAAAGGGGGAAACCUACCUUUAAGACUGGGAAAAAUUUGGGAAAACGGGGGCAAAACCGGAAAAAUAAAUUAAACGGCAGGGUUCAUUGGGAAAAGAGGGUUUUGCGGUAAGUAUUAGAGGGUCCGCGCCGCAUUAGCUAGGUGGUAAGGUAACGGCUUACCAAGGCAACGAUGCGUAGCCGACCUGAGAGGGUGAUCGGCCACACUGGAACUGAGACACGGUCCAGACUCCUACGGGAGGCAGCAGUAGGGAAUCUUCCGCAAUGGGCGAAAGCUUGACGGAGCAACGCCGCGUGAGUGAUGAAGGUCUUCGGAUCGUAAAACUCUGUUAUUAGGGAAGAACAAAUGUGUAAGUAACUAUGCACGUCUUGACGGUACCUAAUCAGAAAGCCACGGCUAACUACGUG
rnacentral:rRNA from 1 species